GAGUUUGAUUCAUGGCUCAGGACGAACGCUGGCGGCGUGCUUAACACAUGCAAGUCGAACGAAGAGCGAUGGAAGCUUGCUUCUAUCAAUCUUAGUGGCGAACGGGUGAGUAACGCGUAAUCAACCUGCCCUUCAGAGGGGGACAACAGUUGGAAACGACUGCUAAUACCGCAUACGAUCUAAUCUCGGCAUCGAGGAUAGAUGAAAGGUGGCCUCUACAUGUAAGCUAUCACUGAAGGAGGGGAUUGCGUCUGAUUAGCUAGUUGGAGGGGUAACGGCCCACCAAGGCGAUGAUCAGUAGCCGGUCUGAGAGGAUGAACGGCCACAUUGGGACUGAGACACGGCCCAGACUCCUACGGGAGGCAGCAGUGGGGAAUAUUGCACAAUGGGCGCAAGCCUGAUGCAGCGACGCCGCGUGAGGGAUGACGGCCUUCGGGUUGUAAACCUCUGUUAGCAUCGAAGAAGCGAAAGUGACGGUAGGUGCAGAGAAAGCGCCGGCUAACUACGUGCCAGCAGCCGCGGUAAUACGUAGGGCGCGAGCGUUGUCCGGAAUUAUUGGGCGUAAAGAGCUUGUAGGCGGUUGGUCGCGUCUGCUGUGAAAGGCUGGGGCUUAACCCUGGUUUUGCAGUGGGUACGGGCUAACUAGAGUGCAGUAGGGGAGACUGGAAUUCCUGGUGUAGCGGUGGAAUGCGCAGAUAUCAGGAGGAACACCGAUGGCGAAGGCAGGUCUCUGGGCUGUAACUGACGCUGAGAAGCGAAAGCAUGGGGAGCGAACAGGAUUAGAUACCCUGGUAGUCCAUGCCGUAAACGUUGGGCACUAGGUGUGGGGGACAUUCCACGUUUUCCGCGCCGUAGCCAACGCAUUAAGUGCCCCGCCUGGGGAGUACGGCCGCAAGGCUAAAACUCAAAGAAAUUGACGGGGGCCCGCACAAGCGGCGGAGCAUGCGGAUUAAUUCGAUGCAACGCGAAGAACCUUACCAAGGCUUGACAUAUACUGGACUGCGUCAGAGAUGGCGUUUCCCUUCGGGGCUGGUAUACAGGUGGUGCAUGGUUGUCGUCAGCUCGUGUCGUGAGAUGUUGGGUUAAGUCCCGCAACGAGCGCAACCCUCGUUCUAUGUUGCCAGCACGUGAUGGUGGGGACUCAUAGGAGACUGCCGGGGUCAACUCGGAGGAAGGUGGGGAUGACGUCAAAUCAUCAUGCCCCUUAUGUCUUGGGCUUCACGCAUGCUACAAUGGCCGGUACAGAGGGUUGCGAUACUGUGAGGUGGAGCUAAUCCCCAAAAGCCGGUCUCAGUUCGGAUUGGGGUCUGCAACUCGACCCCAUGAAGUCGGAGUCGCUAGUAAUCGCAGAUCAGCAACGCUGCGGUGAAUACGUUCCCGGGCCUUGCACACACCGCCCGUC
rnacentral:rRNA from 1 species